rnacentral:rRNA from 1 species
GCAGAGGUGACAAUUCGGAAAUAUUUGGAGGGACGCCAGUGGCGAAGGCGGGUCUCUGGUCCAUUGCUUACGCUGAUGUGUGAAAGCGUGGGGAGCCAACAGGAUUAGAUACCCUUGUAGUCCACGCCGUAAACGAUGAAUGUUAGUCAUUGGGCAGUAUACUGUUCGGUGGCGCAGCUAUCGCACUAAACAUUCCGCCUGUGGAGUACGGUCGCAAGAUUACAACUCAAAGGAAUAGACGCGGGAUCGCACAAGCGGUAGAGCAUGUGGUUUAAUUCGAAGCAGCGCGCAGAACCUUACCAGCCCUUGACAUCCUGUGUUACCUCUAGAGAUAGGGGGUGCACUUCGGUGGCGCAGAGACAGGUGCUGCAUGGCUGUCGUCAACUCGUGUCGUGAGAUGUUGGGUUAAGUCCCGCAACGAGUGCACCCCUCGACCUUAGUUGCCAGCAUUUAGUUGGGCACUCUAAGGGGACUGCCGGUGAUAAGCCGAGAGGAAGGUGGGGAUGACGUCAAGUCCUCAUGGCCCUUACGGGCUGGGCUACACACGUGCUACAAUGGUGGUGACAGUGGGCAGCGAGCACGCGAGUGUGAGCUAAUCUCCAAAAGCCAUCUCAGUUCGGAUUGCACUCUGCAACUCGAG